UACGAGAGGCCCAAACGUUAUUCGGAAUUACUGGGCUUAAAGAGUUCGUAGGCGGCAUUGCAAGUAGGGUGUGAAAGCCCUCGGCUCAACCGAGGAAUUGCGCUCUAAACUGCAGUGCUUGAGGAACCUAGAGGUGAGCAGAACAGAUGGUGGAGCGGUGAAAUGCGUUGAUAUCAUCUGGAAUACCGGAGGCGAAGGCGGCUCACUGGGAGUUUUCUGACGCUGAGGAGCGAAAGCCAGGGUAGCGAACGGG
rnacentral:rRNA from 1 species